AGGCUAGUAUGCUCAGGCCGCCACGGAGGGUAUCCAAGAUUAGAGUUUGAUCCGGGGCUCAGGAUGAACGCUGGCUGUGUGCCUAAUACAUGCAUGUCGAGCGAUGAUAGCAAUAUCAUAGCGGCGAAUGGGUGAGUAACACGUACUCAACGUACCUUUUAGAUUGGGAUAGCGGAUGGAAACAUCCGAUAAUACCGAAUACUUAUUAUUUUUGCAUGAAAGUAAUAUAAAAGGAAGCGUUUGCUUCGCUAAAAGAUCGGAGUGCGCAACAUUAGCUAGUUGGUGAGGUAACGGCCCACCAAGGCGAUGAUGUUUAGCGGGGUUGAGAGAUUGAUCCGCCACACUGGGACUGAGAUACGGCCCAGACUCCUACGGGAGGCAGCAGUAGGGAAUAUUCCACAAUGGACGAAAGUCUGAUGGAGCGACACAGCGUGCAGGAUGAAGGCCCUAUGGGUUGUAAACUGCUGUGGUUAGGGAAGAAAAAGUAGCAUAGGAAAUGAUGCUACCUUGACGGUACCUGGUUAGAAAGCAACGGCUAACUAUGUGCCAGCAGCCGCGGUAAUACAUAGGUUGCAAGCGUUAUCCGAAAUUAUUGGGCGUAAAGCGUCUGUAGGUUGUUUGUUAAGUCUGGCGUUAAAUUUUGGGGCUCAACCCCAAAACGCGUUGGAUACUGGCAGACUAGAGUUAUGUAGAGGUUAGCGGAAUUCCUUGUGAAGCGGUGAAAUGCGUAGAUAUAAGGAAGAACAUCAAUAUGGCGAAGGCAGCUAACUGGGCAUACACUGACACUGAGAGACGAAAGCGUGGGGAGCAAACAGGAUUAGAUACCCUGGUAGUCCACGCCCUAAACGAUGAUCAUUAGUUGAUGGGGAACUCAUCGACGCAGCUAACGCAUUAAAUGAUCCGCCUGAGUAGUACGUUCGCAAGAAUAAAACUUAAAGGAAUUGACGGGGAUCCGCACAAGCGGGUGGAGCAUGUGGGUUUAAUUUGAUGUUACGCGUAGAAACCUUUACCCACUCUUGACAUCUUUCUGCAAGCUAUGGGAGACAUAGUG
rnacentral:rRNA from 1 species